GGAAACAUAUGCAUCAAAUACACUCUAUAACUAGGCAGCGGAAUAAUCGAAACAACAAAACGAUUUACCUAAGUGUACAUGCACCCUAUAGAUCUACGGCUUCAUACUAUUACUUAUACCCUAGGAAAACCGAAAAUAUAAGAAGAAUACUAACCUCUUUAGCUGCCAAUGAUCUUCGAGCUUGACUCCUUAUGCGUGCCACCUUGUUUGGAUGAUAAGGAUCCAAACUAGAAUCCCUCUCUUGGUUCACACCCAAUGAACUCAAAAGAGUAGAAACAAAUAUAAACUAGGAGGGAUGAACUCACGAAAAGUUCUUCCACAAUGAGGGAGAAAGAAGGUGGAGAAUACUCAAGCCAGAAAAUGAGCAAGGAGGAAUGAAUCCCUAAGACCCUAUUUAUAGCCUUGGAUAACUCCUAGGGUUUUAUCCUUCCACCCAUGUGGGAUGGGAUAUGCUAUGAACGAAAUUCCCUUUAUCCAAAGGGAAUUUUCGUCCAACCCCCUUCCUUCUAGGGUUUUGGAAUGUUCCCUGAUCAACCAACUAUUGAUUAAUUCACAUUCAACCCUUUUAUUAAUUAAACUGUUAACUAAUUCCCAAAUUGUUUUCUAAUUAGUUUCUAAUUAAUUAUUAAACCAUAAUAAUUAAUAAACUAAUUACUCCUAUUAUAUAUUCUACUCAAUUUUGAGUCUUGAGGGCAACCCAAGAGGACCCUGCUAUUAUUAGAAAUAUCACCAACUAGUUAAUGAUCUUGGACACACUUCCAACAGUCUCCCACUUGGACAAGUCAUCAACUAGAUAUGCAUGGUUCUAUAUUUCUCAAAUAAUCAACAGAGAGAAUGCCAUCCAAUGCAUCUGCCGAACUCUGAUCUAAUCAGUAUCAGCCCUCAGAUAAGUGAUCAACUAUUCCUUCAUCCUAAUGAUAUCUGUAUGAAUUCGAGACAUGGAUAAUGGUUAAUCCCAUAAUUCAAAAUUAUGUUUCCCGAUAUUGAUUUGUGAUGACUACAUCUGACUACUAAAUCGAACACAUCAAUUCUAGUCAGUACCCGACCAGGUUUUAAGAUGUCAGCACCAAAUCAUCGAGGGGCCCAUAGAUAUCGCUUCUCCUAUUAAGGCAGAAGGGACGAAUAAACUUUGACUACAUAGUCCUUGUCUAUUUCAUCAUAUCACACAUGAAUGUACCCGUUAUAGCCAUCAAUUACGAAUAGCGUUGAAGUACACCAAUGCAUAACAGAAUCAUAGAGCAAAGCCCCACAUGUAUCUCGGUUUGAAGAACAGAAGAUAUUAUCAUCUUAGAAUUACAUGUGACUAAAUCCAUGAAGUAAUGUCUAAGUGCGGGUUGCUCCAAUGCUUAAAUCUCCAUUAAGCACUCACGAGUGUUGACACAAUCACUAUGUUAUGCCAAUCAAAAUGGUCAAUCCACCAACACUCACGACAGUCUUGAAUCACUACUUACUUCCAAGAGUAUGACCGACUGUGGAGGUUUGAGUACUUAGUACUCGGGAAGUGGUUCUAAACAUGCAAAAGUGAAACACAGUAAUAAAUAAACAAAAAUGAUAGCAAUCCAGCAUUUUAUUAAGUCUAUACAAAACAAACAUCACUUCUAUUACUAAUUCAUACUGUUCAAUGUUUCAAGGAUUAUCAAACUAAACAACUGAACAACUAUUUCAUAUCUUCAUAAAAUCUAAUGCUUAUAGAUCUCGUAUGACUAUCAUGCUUGAUCCUUGAUAGUGGUUUAGUGAACGGAUCGGCUGGAUUCUCCUCUGACGAUACUCUGCUCACAACAAUAUCUCCAUCCUCGACUCGAUGUCUUACAUAGUGGAACUUUCUAAGUAUAUGUCUUGAGUUACCAUGGUCUUUAGGUUCUUUAGUCAACGCGACUGCACCCUCAUUGUCACAAAAGAUUUCCAAAGGAUCCUUGAUGCUCGGAACGACACCAAGAUCAUCAAUGAAAUUCUUCAACCAUGUAGCUUCUUUUGCAGCUUCACUAGCUGCUAUAUACUCUGACUCGCACGUAGAGUCUGCCACUGUCGAUUGCUUGGAACGCUUCCAAGUGACUGCUCCUCCAUUAAGCAAGAAUACCCAUCGACUGCGAACAUGAGUUGUCCCUAUCAGUUUGGAAACUUGCAUAUGUAUAACAUUUAACUCUCAACUCAUCCUUACCCCAUAUACCAAGAACAUAUCCUUUGUUCUUCUUAGGUAUUUCAGAAUGUUCUUUACUGCCGUCCAAUGACUUUCGCCUGGGUUGUCCUGAAAACAACUCACCAUACUCAGAGCAAAUGAGACGUCAGGACGAGUACACGUCAUGGAAUACAUGAUCGAUCCUAUAGCAAAAGCAUACGGGACUCGACUCAUUCUUUCCUGUUCAUCACUAGACCCAGGACAUUGAGUUUUACUCAAUUUUGUGCCAUGUUGCAUAGGUAGAUACCCUUUCUUGUAGUCCUGCAUCUUGAAUUUCUUCAAGAUCUUAUCCAAGUAUGUACUUUGGCUUAGCCCUAUUAGAAGCUUUGAUCUAUCUCUAUAGAUCCUUAUACCAAGUAUGUAUGCAACCUCUCCUAGAUCCUUCAUAGCGAAACAACUCCCAAGCCACGUCUUAACACCUUGCAACGUCGGGAUAUCGUUUCCUAUAAGGAGUAUAUCAUCCACAUACAAUACUAGGAAGACUACAUUACUCCCACUAGCUUUAAUAUAUACGCAGGAAUCCCCUUCAAUUCUUGAAAAACCAAACUCCUUGAUCUUUUCAUGAAAGCAGAGGUUCCAACUGUGAGAUGCUUGCUUUAGUCCAUAUAUGGACCUUUCAAGCUUACACACCCUAUUUGGAUAUUUUGGAUAUAUGAAACCUUUAGGUUGUGUCAUAUACACUUCCUCUGUGAGUUUUCCAUUAAGGAAAGCGGUCUUCACAUCCAUUUGACAUACUUCAUAAUCAUGAAAGGCUGCUAUGGCAAGUAAUAUCCUAAUGGACUUGAUCUUGGCUAUUGGUGAAAAGGUUUCCUCAUAAUCAAUUCCUUGAGUCUGGGUGUAACCCUUUGCAACCAACCUAGCCUUGAACGUGUGCACAUUCCCAUCCAUGCCUGUCUUCUUCUUGAAGAUCCAUUUGCACCCAACUAUUUUAGUGCCAGGUGCAGGAUCAACCAAAUUCCAAAUUUGGUUGUCAUGCAUAGACUAAAUCUCGCUCUCCAUGCUUUCCUUCCACUUAGCAGCUUCAGUGUCUGCCAUCGCUUCCCUAUAGUUGGAUGGAUCAUCCAUAUCAAUCAGUGUAUGAUCACUGAUCAAUACGUCUCCUUCUGUACUCACAUGGAAACCAUAGAAUUCAGUAGGAUGACGAACUCUAUUGGAUCUGCGAAGGGGAGGUGGAGAUAUAUCAUUUUGUUCAACAGGUCGCUCACCCUCGGUUAGAGUUUCCUUAAUGGGCUGCUGCACCUCAAGUUGAGUGCUAGUGUCUACCAAAGGUUCUUCUUCAUUCAAUUCUUGAAGCUCUUCAAGAUCUAUGCGGCUCCCACUGUCCUCUUUGGAAAUGAGAUCCCUCUCAAGGAAGAAUCCCCUUCGAGAAACAAACACCUUGUUUUCCGAAGGCUUGUAGAACAAGUAUCCAAACGAUUUUUGCGGAUAACCAAUGAAGUAACACUUCUCUUAUCGGGGUUCAAGCUUGUCAUUUGCCUCGCGACGAACAAAAGCUUCGCAUCCCCAAACUUUUACAUGUGCUAGAGAAGGACGUGUCCCACUCCACAUUUCAGAGGGUGUCUUAGCAACCUUCUUAGUAGGUACGAGGUUUAGGAUAUGGGCAGCUGUCUCUAAGGCAUACCCCUAAAAAGAUAUCAGAAGUGUAGCUCGACUCAUCAUAGAUCGAAACAUGUUUAACAAUGUUCGAUUUCUCCUCUCAGCUACACCAUUCAACUAUGGUGUUCUAGGAGGAGACAAUUGUAAAACUAUACCACAAUUCUUAAGAUGAUCGUAGAAUUCAAGACUUAAAUACUCUCCACCCCUAUCGGAUCGGAGCAUCUUGAUCUUUCUGCCCAAUUGGUUUUCUACUUCGUUUUGAAACUCCUUGAACACCUCAAAGGUUUCCGACUUAUGCUUGAUUAGAUAGAUAUAUCCAUAUCUACUAAAAUCGUCGGUAAAAGUCACGAAGUAUCUUUCUCCAUGUCUUGUGGUGGAUUUGAAGGGUCCACAAACAUCUGUGUGGAUGAGGUCCAACAAAUCCUUGCCUCUUUCACAGUGGCCUGUAAACGGCGCCUUUGUCAUCUUGCCAAGUAAUCAAGAUUCGCAUAUAUCAUCCGAAUUGAGGUCAAAUGAUUCCAUCAGACUGGAGCUUGGCAAUGCGUUUAUUGUUUAUAUGGCCAAGUCGACAAUGCCACAAACAUGAUUUAUCUAAUUCACUAUUAGAUGAACCAACAUUCAUAAUUAGUUUAUCAAAAUCACCAUCGCAAACAAUACUUUCAUUCACACCUUUACAAGGACUAGCUUUGAAAAUAAAACAACCAUUCUUAUAAACCAAAAUGUCACCAUUAUCAUUAUCAAAAGAAAAUCGACAACCAUCCUUAUAAAGUGCAUAAAAAUAAAUAAUGUUUCGUGCCAUAUCAGGCGAGUAGCAACAAUUUAAUAAACUAAGAUAAACACCACCACUAAGCAUUAGCUCAUAGUUCCCAAUCCUUGUAACAGCUGACUUGUGCCUGUUUCCCAUGAUUAGGUUGAGCUCUCCAUGCUUCAACUUCCUACUUUGUCUUAGUCCCUGCAUAUCAGAGCAAAUGUGAGUACCACAUCCUGUAUCAAGAAUCCAAGAGUUAGAAGUAAAUGUGCUAUGGAGUUCUAUCAUGAACAUACCUGAGGUGCUAGCCACCUUGACUUUGCCCUUCUUAAGAUUCUUGAGGUAUUUAGGGCAACUACGCUUCCAGUGUCCCUUCUGCUGGCAGUAAAAACAAAUGGCCUCACUUGGGUCUGAAGAAGGAGCUAUUUCUCCUUGGGCCCUUUUCUUGGGAGGAGGACCAGACUGUCCGACCUUACCCUUACCCUUCUCCUUGGGUUGAGGCGCCCUUUUCCUUUUGGCAGAACCACGGUCAACAACCAACACGGGAGCAAUAGGGUUAGAGUUGUUAGGCUUCUUCAUGCUUGCUUCAGCAGUUUUAAGCAUGCCAUGUAACUCCAUCAAGGUCUUGUCGAGGCCAUUCAUAUUGAAGUUCAUGAUGAACUGAGAAUAUGAACUAGUAAGCGAGUUCAAGACCAUGUCAAUGGACNAAGCGAGUUCAGACCAUGUCAAUGGAUAACUCCUUAGGCAGCUCAACACCUAGAUUCCCAAGUCUGUCUAUGUACGACUUCAUCUUUCGGACGUGUGCACACACAGAAGCUCCCUCUUGUAGCUUACAUGCCAUGAGGGAUUUAACGAUCUCGAAUCGUUCUUGCCUUGAUUGCUCUUGAAACAUUUACUCGAGCUUCUGGUUGAUAUCAAAAGCACCCCAUGUCUCAAAGUUCUUUUGGAGACCAGAACCCAUGGUUGCUAACAUAAGGCAAGCCACUUUGGUCGAUUCAUCGUAAUGCUUGUUGUAGGUAAUAACUUCUUCUGGGGUAGGGUUUUCUCCAAGCACAGGGACAUCUUCAUCGAGAACAUACUCCUUGUUCUUAUAUCUUAACGUGAUCCUCAAGGUUCUGAUCCAAUCAAGAUAGUUGGAUCCAUCUUCCUUGAGUUUCUCCCUAUUAAGAACCGGCAUGAGAGAGAAACUUGAGUUUUGAGUUGGAGGAGGAGGAGGAGGAAGAGGCAAAUCGUUGUUGUUGUUGUUUGCUUGGUUCGACAUCUACAAAAGAUAAGACUCCAAUUAGUUUGAUAUAAGUCCUUAAUUAAUAAUUACCCUAAAUGAAUUAUUGGAUUAAGGCUAGGAUCCAUGUUUGGCUUCAUGAUGCGUAAAGGGAUGCCGUAAACACACCACAAAGUUAUUUAGGUAGACAAAGCUCUUUGUCAAUUUCAAUCACCAUGAAAUUCCUAGAUCUUUGAGAUUCAUUGACUAUCAAUGGCAUGUUCAUCUCGGAUUAUGUUCAUCUCAAAUUCAAUGACGGGGAUGCCGCGGAUCAUUGAAUAGAUGGUGAAUCACCCAUACAAAAUUGCAUGGUCCCCGGCUCAAGUUACGCUUGAGAUUCGUGAGUUUCACAUCAUUCUCAACUUAUACUCUCUAAUUGACGUGUCGUUUAACCACACGAGCUCCAUCAACAAGUUAUAAAGAGAAUGUGCAAUUUUUACGGACAACAUAAGAUUCACUUUAUUUAAAUAAAACGGGAUUUUGUUUUAUACUUGUAUUUAAAAUACUUCUAGAUUGACCAUUAUCACUAUCAAACCCUUUCGGUAACUCCAUUCACAAAAUGCAAUAGCGCGGUGAGGGUGGUAAGCGCGAAGCAUAUUAAAAACCGACCUCAUUAGGAAUCAUAGAGACCUCCUUAAACCCCUACAUUUGAACGGGUGAGCCUAGUCGAGAUAAGACUGACAAUGUCAAUAUUUAAAAUACGCGAGGAAGAAUAUUGUAAUUUUCUUAUACAUACAAUAUAUGUAUCUUACAUAUAUAAGGGCCAAAUUUAAAACUCUUUAAAUCUAGUUGUCUAUUAUUAAUUCAAAUUAAUUACAAGGAUGCAAUAUAACAAUUAAUAAAACAUGAGGGAUUAAUAUUCAAAUUCAUAAAACUAUAUUAUAAAUAAUAUUAAAAAUAUUUAAACUCACCAUUUAAAUAAUAUUUAUCUAUUUUUAGAUUUACACAAUUUGAAAUUUGACAUUUAUCCAUAUUAAACAAAACUUCAAAUUUAAAGCAAAAAUCCCGAAUCUGCUGAGCUCAUGUCAUGAGCUCAUAGUUCUCACGUCGUGAGCUGUGAUUAGGGUUUCAUAUAUUUCGAAUUUUUCAGAUCUAAUCCAAUUAGGUAAUUAUCCAUGCAAGAUAAAGUCUUAAUUUGAAAAAUAAGCAAGAUCAUAACCGAUAGUUCUUAUCUGCCAAUGUUUACGUCGUGAACUACUCUUUUCACGUCGUGAACUUAGGGUUUCUAUCAAAUUACGAAAUUUUCAAUUAAACUUUCAUCAUUCAGUUCCAAAGCAAUAUAUUCAGAAAACAUGGAGGUAGGGUGAUAGUAACCAUGAACCAAUGGCUCUGAUACCACUGUUGGGAAACAUAUGCAUCAAAUACACUCUAUAACUAGGCAGCGGAAUAAUCGAAACAUCAAAACAAUUUACCUAAGUGUACAUGCACCCUAUGGAUCUAUGGCUUCAUACUAUUACUUCUACCCUAGGAAAACCGAAAAUAUAAGAAGAAUACUAACCUCUUUAGCUGCCAAUGAUCUUCGAGCUUGACUCCUUGUGCGUGCCACCUUGUUUGGAUGAUGAGGAUCCAAACUAGAAUCCCUCUCUUGGUUCACACCCAAUGAACUCAACAGAGUAGAAACAAAUAUAAACUAGGAGGGAUGAACUCACGAAAAGUUCUUCCACAAUGAGGGAGAAAGAAGGUGGCGAAUACUCAAGCUAGAAAAUGAGCAAGGAGGAAUGAAUCCCUAGGACCCUAUUUAUAGUCUUGGAUACCUCCUAGGGUUUUAUCCUUCCACCCAUGUGGGAUGGGAUAUGCUAUGAACGAAAUUCCCUUUAUCCAAAGGGAAUUUUCGUCCAACCCCCUUCCUUCUAGGGUUCUGGAAUGUUCCCUGAUCAACCAACUAUUGAUUAAUUCACAUUCAACCAUUUUAUUAAUUAAACUGUUAACUAAUUCCCAAAUUGUUUUCCAAUUAGUUUCUAAUUAAUUAUUAAAC
rnacentral:lncRNA from 1 species